CUCCUUUCUGUCUCUCUUGUGAUUCAUGUUUCCUUCUAGGAGUUGUGGUAGAUGGACUUCUACCAUAACCUUAUUCCAAGUCUUGUUUAAAAAGUUCCUAACUAGACUAAUAUGUCAUUUUCUUUGGAUGAAUUCCCUGUAUUGUAACAGCAGGCAGUUUGUGGAAUAUUGCUAUUGUUGAAGGUGAAGCCCUUGUAUCAAUAUAAUCUGUGUGUCAAUGUAUUCAUCUUUUCCCCUGCCUAUUCUGAUGGUCGCUUCUGGAAACCACUGGAAGAACCAAGGAUUUUAUAAACACAGAUAAGUUUAUUCUGCUUAGGUUCAGCUCUGUGUAGCCAUUCAGACACUCGUGGUGAAGAAGCAUGGAGUGCAGAGGGGAAUUACACCUUCUUAAGCAAACUCAGCUAAAAAAGAUUCAUAAAGUAACCUUCAACAGCGCUUCAAAAGCAGUUGCACUUGAACUUUAACAGAGGCCUGGAUUUUACAGAGAUCAGCUUAAAGAGCCCAAAACACAGGUGUUUGAAGUUUGUAAGAAAUGGAGUGCAGGAUGCAGCUCAUCAGAGGUGCAGGCGCAGCUUGCUGUUUCUCACCCAGCCACAAAACACAGCCCUGCAGCCCACCAUCCAUGGAAGGCCACUGCAACAGCUGGCCCUUGGAAGGAAGCAUCAGGGGAACUUCAGGCAGGCAGCGUGCAGCGACUCAUAUUGAUGUUGACAGCACAUCAGACUCAACUCUACAAUUUUUGUUGAAGCUACUGUUUGAUACAAGCCAUUACAGAGCAAUACAUUGUACCAGCAGCUCCUCUCUUCCAUUUGUGUAUUGCCCAACAAAGAUCCUUUCUUUGGCCUAUUAUUAGUUUAAGAUUAUUUCAAAAUUUUUUGUCUACAACUGUUGUUUCUUCCUUCCUCUGUCAUAGCUAAUAAAACAGAUACAUGACAUUAGUUUGGUGACUUCCCCGUUUAGGAGUUGUGUCUAGUUAGAUGUUCAAUGCUACCCGCUCAGUUAUUUAUUAACCAAUUAUUUCCUUGACUCUCUGCACACUUCAUGGUGCUUAUGCUAUAAUGCCAGGGAGCUUAUGCUAUAAUGCUAUAAUUCUCCUACAAGUCUGUCCCCCAUCUUGUCCUCUGCAGGACUCAUAGAGACAGCUGAGCUGGCUCCCCAAGAGACAGUUAGCCAAGCUCGCUCCACAGCGCAAGCACCUCACCAGCCCUCAGCACCAGUUUGUGCUGCUACUUGAAAUCUGACUUCUGCUCACAGAAGACCGACAAAGAUAUAAGAUAUAGGUGGUUGUCGGGUCUUGAAGUGUUUAAAUCAACGCUUUUAUCUUUAAGGGGAGAGGGACAUUGGUUAGUUUUGUAACCUACUAGAGAAAUGGAGGAAACAGACACCAACUUUGUAUCCAGACUGUCAGAAAAUUCAAACAUGUUUGGAUUUAAAACUUUGAAAUGAGUUGAUCACUUUUUGUUACUGUUUCAAAAGCUAAGGCUGGUGAUCCAACAGUAUUCCCAUCUUCUGCAGAAAUCCAAAAGCUUCUGCUUCCACCCAGUCUUUAAUGCAACAAGAGCAGCAACCACCUGUGGCUUCUGCUUGUUCCAUUUGAUUUUUAUUUGCAGUUUCUACCAAUUACUGUUUAUUUUAUUAGUUGUUUAUGGUUUUGCCAUUUCUUGUUUUGAUGACAUUUUGAUUUGCUUCAAACUGCCCUUUAUUUUAAUUUUCUUUCCCAAGCAUAUUGAUUUAUGGUCAUUUCUUCUAUUUCUUUUAUGCUUUUAAUGUUUUAUUUCCUUUAUUUGCAUAGCACUUACAUUUCAUGACCUUUUUGUUGCUGCAGCUGCUGCUGCUUCUGGACUACUAGUGUUUUCUCCUACUUAUCAACCAGGAAACAUGAAGUGAAAGUACACCAAAUCCCUGUAAAGACAGGCAUCCAAAUACAAAAUCUUUUUUGAUAUUUCUUUAUUAUUCUGCAAUUUCUUAAAAGUGUUGAGAUUUUUCAACAUGUACAAUUUAAAAUACUUUUUUUUUUCUUCUUAAAGAAACAUACUAUAGGAACUCUCUAUGUUCUGCUCUAAAGACCCCAUCUGAACACCUUCCUUUAGGCUGGUUUAAUACUUGGUAGCUCUUCUAGGAACAAAGGCGUUUGUAAUGGAGGUAACAGCAUGAAAAUUAUAAAUUGUAGAGGUCUGUCUACAACUCUCAGUGGAGUAUUCAUGGCUAAUAUGAAGUACUGUAUGGACAUUUAAAAAUUAAUAUACUUGCAGUUAAUGAAAUGUCUCAUAGGAAAUUUCUACAGAACAUUUAGGCUUAAAUGUGCCUAAUGA